GACCUGGUGGCCAGCACAGAGAAUGUGCUCAAUGAAUGUUUGCUGGAUUGAAUGACACACCCUCAGGUCCAAGUGGGCCAUGCCCCUCUGCCUGCAGCCUGGUGGCCGUCAGGGUCAGGGCUCCCAUGCUUUCUGAUACCCGGGAGGAUGGGUCUCUGACCAUGGGAUUUUGAAAUAGCAAUGAGCCUGAAUAACAUUUUGAGAUACUGGCAACAACGAAAGUGUGGAAUGAAACUUCCCGUUAUUUCUGCUGGCUAACACUAAGUGGUUGCCACCUAUGUUCAUAAUACAAGGAACUGCUCAGUUUCAACCAGAGACAAGGAGGCUCUGUCCAAGCUCCUGUCCUGGCUCGCUCAGCCCAGCCUUCAGGUUCUCAGCCCAACACGAGGGUCUCCUUGGGUAGUCAGCUCAAUCAUUUCAAGCUAUUAAUCAACGGACUUCUCCUGAAUGCAUCCAGACCUCUCCUCAAGGCUCUUGCUCCGUCGCCCAGGCUGAAGUGCAGUGGAGCGAUCACGAUCACGGUUCGCUGCAGCUUCAAACUCCUGAGCUCAAACGAUCCUCCCCGCUCAGCCUCCCAAGUAGCUGGGACUACUGGCACAUGCCACCACCCCUGGCUGAAAAUCACUCAUUUUUAAUGAGAAAAUGAAGCGGGAAAGGAAGCUACUCACAACAGCAACAAGAUCCGUACUAUAACCAAGAAUGAAACCAGAAUAUAGAGUUUUUGUGAUUAGAACGGGCAAAUAAAAGAACAAAGCUGAGUGGAGAGUCCAGAAUUCUCAGCCACUCCACUCCUAAGAAUCUGCCGUUUUUAAAAAGUGGACAUGUGCACAAAGGUAUACGUACAAAGAGGCUCAGAAAUAACAUUUGCAAGGGCAAAAACAUUGAGGCCAAUGCGAGUUUUUAUCAACAGGAGAAUGGUUAAAUGAAUAAUGUUAUAUCACAUUUGCAGUGUUUUAUUUAGAAAGGAAGCAUUGCUGUGAGUUCUGACAUGGAAUGAUCUCGGUGGUAUAUUGAAAAGCAAGUUCUAAUAUAAUUCCUCAAGCAUAAAAAAAACUAUAUGUUGAUAUAUUUAUGGAUAGAGGUAAUUGCAUAGAAAAAUGCCUGGAAAGAUACAUGUCAAACCAUUAUUGUGGUUAGUUCUGGGGGCCAUUUCCUUUAGAAAUUUUCUAUGAGAAUGGCCGGGUGCGG
rnacentral:lncRNA from 1 species